rnacentral:rRNA from 1 species
AUUGAACGCUGGCGGCAUGCCUUACACAUGCAAGUCGAACGGCAGCACGGGGCAACCUGGUGGCGAGUGGCGAACGGGUGAGUAAUGCAUCGGAACGUACCUUUCAGUGGGGGAUAACGUAUCGAAAUUUACGCUAAUACCGCAUAUUCUGUGAGCGGGAAAGCAGGGGAUCGCAAGACCUUGCGCUGAUUGAGCGGCCGAUGUCAGAUUAGCUAGUUGGUGAGGUAAAGGCUAACCAAGGCGACGAUCUGUAGCGGGUCUGAGAGGAUGAUCCGCCACACUGGAACUGAGACACGGUCCAGACUCCUACGGGAGGCAGCAGUGGGGAAUUUUGGACAAUGGGGGCAACCCUGAUCCAGCCAUGCCGCGUGAGUGAAGAAGGCCUUCGGGUUGUAAAGCUCUUUCGGCCGGGAAGAAAUCGCACGGGCUAAUACCCUGUGGAUGACGGUACCGGAAUAAGAAGCACCGGCUAACUACGUGCCAGCAGCCGCAGUAAAAC